rnacentral:piRNA from 1 species
UACUUAUGUCUCCUGGCAAAAGCACCUCU